GGGAAAAUGUGGAGUGUCAGUCAAGAGGCAACACUAGGAGGCAAGGAAUCUGCAUUUCUUUCAGACCUUGGCAGAGAGCGCCCUGGGAAAUGCGGAUAUAGAAGGACUCCUCAUCUGUUUUUAAGAGGGAAAUCUGAGUUUUCAAGGAAAGCCGAAUACAGUUGCCAAGUUGCCAGUCAAAGAAACAAUGUCAACACCUGCUCAUAGAGAUGGAAUUCCUAACCCGGAAUAUUGCCCUUGAAUUACAACGAGAAAAAGAACACUUCUUAUUCCUGUAGCACCUCUUCAAGUGAGAUGGCAGACCACCUCAGGAUGGAAAUGUAUUUCUUCAUCCCCCUCUCUACUUCCCUGUGACCUCCUGCAAAUAAGGGAGAGACAAAGAGAAGAGCAGAAGAACAGAAGAAUGGAGUGGCAAAGAGAAGAGAAGGAGUGACUGAACAUUGACAAGACUUUGGUUGGGGAUGGUCAGAGAGGAGAUUAGCUGCUAGACGGCCACACUGCGGAGAAAGAUCAUUUUCCCACUCCAUCCCCCUUCCAGCUCCCCAUCCAUCUCACCAAGAGCCAGCUCCACCACUCAAUAAAACCUUACAUUCAUCUUUCA
rnacentral:lncRNA from 1 species